rnacentral:rRNA from 1 species
CCUACGGUGGGCAGCAGUGAGGAAUAUUGGUCAAUGGUCGGGAGCCUGAACCAGCCAAGCAGCGUGAAGGAGGAAGGUCCUACGGAUUGUAAACUUCUUUUAUAAGGGAAUAAAGUGAGGCACGUGUGCCUUUUUGUGUGUACUUUAUGAAUAAGGAUCGGCUAACUCCGUGCCAGCAGCCGUGGUAAUACGGAGGAUCCGAGCGUUAUCCGGAUUUAUUGGGUUUAAAGGGAGCGGAGAGGGGUUGGUAAGUCAGUUGUGAAAGUUUGCGGCUCCACCGCAACACUGCAAUUGAUACUGGCAGUCUAGAGUACGGUAGAGGUAGGCGGAAUUCGUGGUGUAGCGGUGAAAUGCUUAGAUAUCGCGAAGAACUCCGAUUGCGAAGGCAGCUUAC